AUACCAGCACCCCGAGUUGUCGGGACGAUUAUUGGGCCUAAAGCAUCCGUAGCCUGUUCUGCAAGUCCUCCGUUAAAUCCACCUGCUCAACGGAUGGGCUGCGGAGGAUACCGCAGAGCUAGGAGGCGGGAGAGGCAAACGGUACUCAGUGGGUAGGGGUAAAAUCCAUUGAUCUACUGAAGACCACCAGUGGUGAAGGCGGUGUGCCAGAACGCGCUUGACGGUGAGGGAUGAAAGCUGGGGGAGCAAACCGGAUUAGAUACCCGGGUAGUCCCAGCUGUAAACGAUGCAGACUCGGUGAUGGGUUGGCUUCGAGCCAACCCAGUGCCGCAGGGAAGCCGUUAAGUCUGCCGCCUGGGGAGUACGGUCGCAAGACUGAAACUUAAAGGAAUUGGCGGGG
rnacentral:rRNA from 1 species